rnacentral:rRNA from 1 species
UACGUAGGGGGCAAGCGUUAUCCGGAAUUACUGGGUGUAAGGGGUACGUAGGCGGUCCGAUAAGUCAGAUGUGAAAGCCCGAGGCUCAACCUCGGGACUGCAUUUGAAACUGUCAGACUAGAGUACAGGAGAGGUAAGUGGAAUUCCUAGUGUAGCGGUGAAAUGCGUAGAUAUUAGGAAGAACACCAGUGGCGAAGGCGGCUUACUGGACUGUAACUGACGCUGAGGUACGAAAGCGUGGGGAGCGAACAGG